GAUGAACGCUGGCGGCGUGCCUAAUACAUGCAAGUCGAGCGAAUGGAUUAAGAGCUUGCUCUUAUGAAGUUAGCGGCGGACGGGUGAGUAACACGUGGGUAACCUGCCCAUAAGACUGGGAUAACUCCGGGAAACCGGGGUUAAUACCGGAUAAUAUUUUGAACUGCAUGGUUCAAAAUUGAAAGGCGGCUUCGGCUGUCACUUAUGGAUGGACCCGCGUCGCAUUAGCUAGUUGGUGAGGUAACGGCUCACCAAGGCAACGAUGCGUAGCUGACCUGAGAGGGUGAUCGGCCACACUGGGAAUGAGACCAGGCCCAGACGACUACGGGAUGCAGCAUUAGGGAAUCUUCCGCAAUGGACGAAAGUCUGACGGAGCAACGCCGCGUGAGUGAUGAAGGCUUUCGGGUCGUAAAACUCUGUUGUUAGGGAAGAACAAGUGCUAGUUGAAUAAGCUGGCACCUUGACGGUACCUAACCAGAAAGCCACGGCUAACUACGUGCCAGCCGCCGCGGUAA
rnacentral:rRNA from 1 species